UACGAAGGGGGCUAGGCGUUGCUCGGAAUCACUGGGCGUAAAGCGCACGUAGGCGGCUUCUUAAGUCAGGGGUGAAAUCCUGGAGGCUCAAACUCCCAGAACUGCCUUUGAUACUGGGAGCUUCGAGUCCGGAAGAGGUGAGUGGAACUGCGAGUGUAGAGGUGAAAUUCGUAGAUAUUCGCAAGAACACCAGUGGCGAAGGCGGCUCACUGGUCCGGUACUGACGCUGAGGCACGAAGGCCAGGGGAGCAAACGGGG
rnacentral:rRNA from 1 species